GGCGUGCUUAACACAUGCAAGUCGAACGAGAAAGUUCCUUCGGGAAUGAGUAAAGUGGCGCACGGGUGAGUAACGCGUAAGUAAUCUACCUUGGCAUUUGGAAUAACUACGGGAAGCUGUAGCUAAUACCGAAUACGUUCAUAGAGUUACGACUCUAUGAAGAAAGAUGACCUCUUCUUGAAAGUUAUCGUGCUAAGAGGAGCUUGCGUACCAUUAGCUAGUUGGUAGGGUAAUGGCCUACCAAGGCAACGAUGGUUAGCGGGUCUGAGAGGAUGAUCCGCCACACUGGAACUGGAACACGGACCAGACUCCUACGGGAGGCAGCAGUGAGGAAUAUUGCGCAAUGGGGGAAACCCUGACGCAGCGACGCCGCGUGGAUGAUGAAGGCCUUAGGGUCGUAAAAUCCUGUCAGAUGGGGAGAAAUGUAUGAGGGAACAAUACCUCUUGUGCUUGACGGUACCAUCAAAGGAAGCACCGGCUAACUCCGUGCCAGCAGCCGCGGUAAUACGGAGGGUGCAAACGUUGUUCGGAAUUACUGGGCGUAAAGCGCGCGUAGGCGGUUUGUUAAGUCAGAUGUGAAAGCCCAUGGCUCAACCAUGGACGUGCAUUUGAAACUGGCAGACUUGAGUACUGGAGGGGAUGGGUGGAAUUCCCGGUGUAGAGGUGAAAUUCGUAGAUAUCGGGAGGAAUACCGGUGGCGAAGGCGACCAUCUGGCCAGAUACUGACGCUGAGGUGCGAAAGCGUGGGGAGCAAACAGGAUUAGAUACCC
rnacentral:rRNA from 1 species